GGGGUUGUGGCUCAGUGGAAGAGCAUUCACCUAGCACAUGCAAGGCACUGGGUUCGAUCCUCAGCACCCACC
rnacentral:tRNA from 1 species